UUCAGCCAAAUGCACGGAAAGCCAUUUCCCAUAUAAAACGUGCGGGGUCCUUCACUCGGUUUUAAAAGAUUUUAGAUUUCCAUUCUUUUUUUUUUAGCCCUGCUAUGGUUCUAUGAUUGAAACGACAACAAUUUUUAAAAUUUGUUCUAUUUUCUUGCUUGAAGGUUUUGUUCUUAGAGAAUCUGUUUUCUGUUCCAAAAUUUUUGAAUCCUUUAUUUCAAUAUCUUCGGUUUCUUCCAAGAUGCGCUUCUUCUACAUGGCUGUUACUUAUGAUAGUUGAAUAAGUUUUGGUUCUGGCUUCACUUUCUUCUAAAAUUUUUAUUUUUAAAUUUUCUGGUUAGGUAAAUCAUCUCUGGAUUCUAUGUUUAUUCGGAAAUUUUCAUAUGACACAGGAAGAGAGUAUAACAUCAUCACAGAAUGGAGAGGUAUUCCAGAAGCUCUUUGACAUUUCCAUUGUUCUCGAUGUAACCAAAUUUGGUGACCUUGAAAAACUACCAAAAGGCUGGUAGUUGUACAUGGCCACAGAAUAGUAAAUAUCUAUAUUAAAAAUUCUCAAUUCUGUGACGUGGCUCGAUUGUCUUUCCUCUCUAUUCUGUGACCGAACAAUACUUGUGUCAAAAGGCAAUGAACUCGAACACCGAAACACGUGGAAAUAAACUACUAACAAAAUGACGGUUGAGACCAUGAAAAGAUAGAGUGUCGCUUCUGUAAUACCUUUCUAUUCUGUUACAUCACAAUGCUGAGUAAGUCAUUGUUAAUUUGGAUAUCCAUUUCGGAUAAAUUAUCUUCUGUAUCAGCAAACUUAUUCAGAUGUUGUCGAAUAUUGUCCCUCUCAUUCAUUUUUUGGAAAAUUAAACUUUUUAAUAAUGUUGCUUAACGAGCAGGUUCUAGAAUUUGGUAAAUUUUGCUCAAUGUAUCCCAAAUAUCUUUUGAUGUUGAACAGUUUUUAAUCUGUCUCAGUUCAUUUGGAGAUAUUAUCAAAAUAAGUUCUGAUUUUGCGUUAAAAUCAUCGUUAAUCCAUUUAUUUUUUGUCUACCGGUUUCAUUUUCUUUCCAGACACAUAAUCCCAAAAACCAGCUCUUCUUAAAAUUGUUUGUGCUGGAAUCUUCCAAGUAUCAUAGUUAUCAUUUUUCAAUGAUUUUAUUCUAUAAGUUGUCGAUACCUGAGCCAUUUUCCUCGAUCUCUUUUACGAUAUUUCAAUUUGUCGAAUUUUACGUGGUUUAUUGUUCAACAGUUGCAAAAACUGGGGUCUUUUUAAGAAAAUUGAAUCCCUGAGCCCAUAACCUGUAGUUAUUAUAUUAGUAGGUACGCAGUUUAAAGAGGGAUGAACUGAAGCUAUAUUUUAUUAUAAAACAUUUUAAUGACAUCAAAAAAACUACUGUCAAUGUUACCUAAGGUAACUAAAAUAAUCAGUAGCAGGAGUGCAUAUCAAUAAUGUAUUUAUUCCAACGGACAAGAAUCCAAAAUUGUUUAGUAUAGAUUGAAAUGCAUUCUGCGAGCGGAAAUUUUGAACUAGGAGACCAAAAAAGUGUUUAUCCCAAAGUGAUCAGAAUGAUUCUUUCAGUUUCGGAGCAAUGACGGUUGGAAGGUUCAUGAGUGAUUUCGUGAAAAAAUUCAGCAAGAUGAAUUAGAACAAGUACUCAAAAGAUUCUACCACCGAUUUCUACUGUUAUAUUAUGUGUGUAGAUUUAUAUUUUUUCACAAAGUGCGUUAUGUGAAUGUGUGUAUUUACCUGUUGCCACAUCAAUUGUUGAAAAUCCUGACUGAAGAUUGCAACAACUGCAAAAUGCGCCCCGCAUAAUAUGAGUCCGAAAAGGGCUGUUAUCCAACUCUUCAGUGGCAUCAUUGAGUACGCCAGAAAUAUAACAAAAACAACCUGCCAUGUCCCCUCAGCGGCUACCUUUGCAGUCAACUCGGCCGGUAAAAUCGGCAGGGCUAACGCGCAAAA